UCAUGGAAUCGAUUGAUUCCAGCAAAAAUCUGUCAUUUAUUUUCUUUUAAUAAUAAAUUUUAAUGUAGUUAUAUUAAACCAAGAACUUUGAACUUAAUCCCUUUAAAAGCCCUCCAAUCUUAACGAGCACAUUGUACAAUCAUUAUCCAAUGCAAAUCAACCUUUAUAACCUUCACAACAAACGAAAAAAGGCACAAAAAGGGUGUUAAAUCGCACAAAGAAAAAUCCUCAACAAUUUAUUAUAUCAAAAUUCUUCAAUCAGAUGCACAACACAACAUCUCAACACAAAAGAAAAGCACCGAAAAAAAAAAAAGUAUUAAAAUUUAUCCAGAUAGAAAACAUCGAUUUACAAGUCGUCUAAUAAUAUUCUUAUAAUAAAAUUUUCCUCUUUCAAAUUUCCCUUGUGGCAUGGCCUUUUCUUUUUCUAUUCAUCGUCUCAGACACUCUCUCGCCUCGCGAAAAAAGGAGCACAGAGAUACAUUUUUAUAAGCAUUUUACUUUUUCCACAGAAAACCAUUAUAAUCGCAUCAUCGCUAAUGGAAGGAAAACGCGUAAGCCGGUGCGCGAUGCUCCAAAUACUGAAAAAUCAAAAUACCAAAAGGAGCAAAAAGAUCAAGAAAAAAAGAUGAAGAAGCAAAAAAAAAAUCGAAAUAGCUUAAAUACCUACCGACACAAGAAAAAAAAAUGUGAAAGAAAAAAAAAAUAAUAAAAAUAAUAUCAAGAAGAAGAAAAAAAAAA